rnacentral:lncRNA from 1 species
CCAGUUAAAUCCAGGGGAGGUUCUCAACUGUGCCUUGACACCAGAUGCGAGCGUCCAAUCUGCAUAGCUAUCCGUGAAAUGGUGAGAUUUUUUGCAAGGUUUUUAGCAGGAGGACCAGGACCAGAGAUCUACAUAUCGGGCCCUUUCUAAAGAAUAGGUACAUUUUGUGGGAUCGUCGUUUCGGAAAGAUGGCUCACAGAACUGUGCUUCAGAGCCAGAGCGCAG